rnacentral:misc_RNA from 1 species
GAUGAAGAACGUAGCGAAAUGCGAUAAGUAAUGUGAAUUGCAGAAUUCAGUGAAUCAUCGAAUCUUUGAACGCACAUUGCGCCCGCCAGUAUUCUGGCGGGCAUGCCUGUUCGAGCGUCAUUACAACCCUCAGGCCCCCGGGCCUGGCGUUGGGGAUCGGCGGAAGCCCCCUGCGGGCACAACGCCGUCCCCCAAAUACAGUGGCGGUCCCGCCGCAGCUUCCAUUGCGUAGUAGCUAACACCUCGCAACUGGAGAGCGGCGCGGCCACGCCGUAAACACCCAACUUCUGAAUGUUGACCUCGAAUCAGGUAGGAAUACCCGCUGAACUUUAGCAUAUCAAUAAGCGGAGGA